rnacentral:lncRNA from 1 species
UAGAAAGCUGUUCUUCCUGCUCCUCCCUGCACCUGCUGAUGGUCUUACUUUGUCUUCCUAGAUUCCACCGUGGAUCCAAUGGAGGAACACCUCAGGGAGAAGAAAAAGGAGGCCCCAUGGAAAGUGAAGGAGGCCUGGAGAGAGCAGGAGAGUGGUAUGUAUGGGGGAAUCCCUCCCGUGUGAAUGAGGAAUCCAGGUGAUGAGGAAUGUGCCGCCGUCUCGCUGGCUUUCCUGCACACAGGCAGCCGGAGUGGAGCUUCCUGUUGUGACUGAGGACCAGGCUGUGGUGGUGAAGUGGUUGCUCCAGAGCUCAGCCCCGGGCAGCCCAUCUUGGGGCCCCAGUGAUGUUCUGAUGCACACAGCCAUGUGCUGAGAUAGACCACAAGUGUGAAAAGGCUUCCUGCUCACCCUC